GCUUGGUGAUAACUAUCCAUCUGUAUGUGUCUGCCAUUUGUUUUAAACUCAAAACAUAGUUGAUGUCUAAGUAACAUAAUGCUAAUUAAUUCUAAACUAGACUUAGUUUAUUAUUAUGCCUUGAAUAUUAUUCUGGGGUCAAAUGUCUGCAUAAUGUCUUCCUGAUGUGUAUUCUAAUGACUGAAUUGUGUUGUCACAGUCUUCUUGCACAUGAUAAAGCAUCGAAAUGCUUGAAUAAAAU
rnacentral:lncRNA from 1 species